GGUGGAAGUACUGUCCCCAGUGGGGUUCAGUGUUGUCCCUCCAGGUUCACUAUCACCCCUUUUGGCUCAGCACUGGUGUUUGAACCUGGGGCCUCGUGCAUGGAAGGCAUCAAUCACUCUGCCGCUGAGCUAUGUUUCUACAGGGUUUUGGUAAGUUAGCCGCGUUGGGUUAAAACCGAGUUGGGAGCUCAGGCAGGCCUUGAGUUUCCAAUCCUCCUGCCUCCGCUUUCUGAGUAGAUAGGAUUACAGACCUGGGGCCACAGGGCUUGAUUCCCGCCCCCUCAUUUCUGGAAAUCACUAAGAAAAACGGUAAACAGUUUAAUUUUUAACUUUGAGUAGCUAGCUGCCUGGUUGUUGCUGACAGGAAGUCACUCUCAGGCAGUGCAUGCACCCUGUGUUGUCCCAGCCAAAGAGAAAGCAGGGCCUGUACUGGACACCUCAAAUGCCUCCAUCUGCAGAGACAGAAGCCAGUUGGUCCCUAGGAAGUUCUGCUCAGCUGUUAGUAAGCCACAGACUUCAGGAGGGAAGGCUCUGCACUUGUCUGUGGGUAUCCUGUUGCUGUGUCUUUGGUUGAAAAUCAAUGAAGUCUCCAGGCAGAAGUGGUGCAUGUCUUUACUAGCACUUGGGAGGCAGAGGUAGGAGGACUUAAGAGUUCAAGGCCAAAUCGGGCAGUAGUGGGUGCACACCUUUAAUCCCAGCUGAGGAAGGUACUCUUAAUCUGAGCUGAUUUAAAGAUUAUCAUAGGUUUGAUUUGCCUCAUAUCAGACCUUAUUUUUUUAAAUCUCCAAAGAGGAGGGAGGAGGGGGAGGAGGGGGAAGAGGGGGAGGAGAACGAGGAGGAGGAGGAGGAGGAGAGAGAGAGAGAGAGAGAGAGAAGGAGGAGGAACAAUAAUUUUUUUAUGUUCCUCACUUUAGAAUUUGCUACUUAUUUACUCACUUCUUAUUUCUGUGGAUGUCUAUAACCUGAAAGACCCUCCUCUUCCCAUUUUGCUCAAUAGCCCCUUGCUCACUUCUCCGUGAAAAGUAUUAAACCAUAAUUUAUUCUCUAAGACACAAAGCAAGAGGCAUCUUCUUUCAUGGGGGACACUAUGCUCCUCCCCCACAGCACCGACCUACCUCUUCACUCCGCAGCCACUCUGCCAAUUGGUCUUUACAGCUUUCCAUCCUUACCGUGGUCUUCUUUGUAAAGCCCUCUUCCCCACUGUACACAUGCUUUGAGGGGUAAACUGAGUCUCACUCACCACUGCCUUCUGAGAAGCUAGUAUCAGACUUUGUGUGAUGCCAGAUAAUAGUUUACUGAACACAUUCAAAACGGAAUGAGCUCUGAAAUGACUGGAGCAGAGGUAGGAAGCGGCCAUCCGCUAGAGUGGCGGUGGCGUAAAGUCCCACCUAGUCUCUGAGAACAGCCACUCAAGGGCUUCAGGAAACCAGUGCCCCACCCCCAUCCCCACCCCGAAAUGAGGCAGCAUAUGCCUGAUGUGUUUGUGCUGAACCAAAGUACUUGUUUCACAUGCCCCCUCCCCUUCCCCGACUCUCCAGAUGUUGAGCUCAGCUGGCAGGCUUCAUCUACAAACAAGCUGUCUUCACUGGAGGUCACACUGUUAUUCCCCAAGGGAAGUUCCUCUGGGGAGAUGUCCACACUUGCCAGACUUUCUGCCUUGCAGGACUAAGUUGAGAAGCCU
ensembl:lincRNA